UAUCAAUAAGCGGAGGAAAAGAAACCAACAGGGAUUGCCCUAGUAACGGCGAGUGAAGCGGCAACAGCUCAAAUUUGAAAUCUGGCGCAAGCCCGAGUUGUAAUUUGCAGAGGAUGCUUCUGGGCAGCGGCCGGUCUAAGUUCCUUGGAACAGGACGUCACAGAGGGUGAGAAUCCCGUAUGUGACCGGCGCGCACCCUCCACGUAGCUCCUUCGACGAGUCGAGUUGUUUGGGAAUGCAGCUCUAAAUGGGAGGUAAAUUUCUUCUAAAGCUAAAUACCGGCCAGAGACCGAUAGCGCACAAGUAGAGUGAUCGAAAGAUGAAAAGCACUUUGGAAAGAGAGUUAAAAAGCACGUGAAAUUGUUGAAAGGGAAGCGCUUGCAACCAGACUCCGUGGCGGUGUUCCGCCGGUCUUCUGACCGGUCCACUCGCCGCCGCGGGGCCAACAUCGUCUGGGGCCGCCGGACAAGACUGGAGGAAUGUGGCUCCCUCGGGAGUGUUAUAGCCCUCAGUGAUGCGGCGUGCCCCGGGCGAGGUCCGCGCUUCGGCAAGGAUGUUGGCGUAAUGGUUGCCAGCGGCCCGUCUUGAAACACGG
rnacentral:rRNA from 1 species